rnacentral:rRNA from 1 species
GACGAACGUUGGCGGCGUGCUUAAUACAUGCAAGUCAACUGAAGCAGUGGUAGCAAUAUCGCUGUGGAGGUGGCGCACGGGUGAGUAACACGUAGGUAAUCUGCCUUCAGGUCUGGCAUAACUCCGGGAAACCGGGGCUAAUAGCAGAUGAUGCAGCGGCUCGACAUCGAGACAGUUGUUAAAGCUAUGGCGCCUGAAGAUGAGCCUGCGUCUGAUUAGCUAGUUGGCGGGGUAACGGCCCACCAAGGCAACGAUCAGUAGCUGGUCUGAGAGGAUGAUCAGCCACACUGGAACUGAGACACGGUCCAGACUCCUACGGGAGGCAGCAGUAAGGAAUAUUGCUCAAUGGGAGACAUCCUGAAGCAGCAACGCCGCGUGAGGGACGAAGGGCUUUUGCUUGUAAACCUCUGUAGUGAGAGAAAAAAAUCCCAAUCUUUGGGACAUGAUGGUAUCUCAAAAGUAAGCCCCGGCUAACUACGUG